rnacentral:rRNA from 1 species
CAGACUUUCCAGAGAUGGAUUGGUGCCUUCGGGAACUCUGAGACAGGUGCUGCAUGGCUGUCGUCAGCUCGUGUUGUGAAAUGUUGGGUUAAGUCCCGCAACGAGCGCAACCCUUAUCCUUUGUUGCCAGCGGUUCGGCCGGGAACUCAAAGGAGACUGCCAGUGAUAAACUGGAGGAAGGUGGGGAUGACGUCAAGUCAUCAUGGCCCUUACGAGUAGGGCUACACACGUGCUACAAUGGCAUAUACAAAGAGAAGCGACCUCGCGAGAGCAAGCGGACCUCAUAAAGUAUGUCGUAGUCCGGAUUGGAGUCUGCAACUCGACUCCAUGAAGUCGGAAUCGCUAGUAAUCGUAGAUCAGAAUGCUACGGUGAAUACGUUCCCGGGUCUUGUACACACCGA